rnacentral:tRNA from 1 species
GGAGGGGUGGCAGAGCGGUUGAUUGCGCCGGUCUUGAAAACCGGAAGGCCAAAAGGCCUCGUGAGUUCGAAUCUCACCCCCUCCGCCA